NNNNNGGUCCUCGAGUGCAAAGGCAGAAGGGAGCUUGACUGCAAGACUCACCCGUCGAGCAGAGACGAAAGUCGGCCUUAGUGAUCAGACGGUGCCGAGUGGAAAGGCCGUCGCUCAA
rnacentral:ncRNA from 1 species